rnacentral:rRNA from 1 species
UGAGGAAUAUAGGGCAAUGCCCGAAAGGGUGACCCAGCAACGCCGCGUGGAGGAUGAAGGUCGUAAGAUUGUAAACUCCUGUUAGAGGGGAAGAAUAACUAAGUUUGGAGCUUAGUAUGACUGUACCCUCAGAGAAAGCCCCGGCUAACUACCUGCCAGCAGCCGCGGUAAUACGUAGGGGGCAAGCGUUGUCCGGAUUUACUGGGUGUAAAGGGCGCGCAGGCGGAAUGGAAAGUCAGUGGUGAAAUCCUACAGCUUAACUGUAGAACUGCCUUUGAUACUGUCAUUCUUGAGUUCGGGAGAGAGAGACGGAAUUCCAGGUGUAGUGGUGAAAUACGUAGAUAUCUGGAAGAACACCAGUUGCGAAGGCGGUCUCUUGGUCCGAUACUGACGCUGAGGCGCGAAAGCGUGGGGAGCAAACAG